GAUGAAUGCUGGCGGCAUGCCUUACACAUGCAAGUCGAACGGUAACAGGUCUUCGGAUGCUGACGAGUGGCGAACGGGUGAGUAAUACAUCGGAACGUGCCUAGUAGGGGGGGAUAACUACUCGAAAGAGUGGCUAAUACCGCAUGAGAUCUACGGAUGAAAGCAGGGGAUCGCAAGACCUUGUGCUACUAGAGCGGCCGAUGGCAGAUUAGGUAGUUGGUGGGAUAAAAGCUUACCAAGCCGACGAUCUGUAGCUGGUCUGAGAGGACGAUCAGCCACACUGGGACUGAGACACGGCCCAGACUCCUACGGGAGGCAGCAGUGGGGAAUUUUGGACAAUGGGCGAAAGCCUGAUCCAGCAAUGCCGCGUGCAGGAUGAAGGCCUUCGGGUUGUAAACUGCUUUUGUACGGAACGAAAAGCCCCGGGUUAAUACCCUGGGGUCAUGACGGUACCGUAAGAAUAAGCACCGGCUAACUACGUGCCAGCCGCCGCCGUAA
rnacentral:rRNA from 1 species